ACCCGGGUGGCGAAAUGGUAGACGCGCGGGACUUAAAAUCCCUUGCCUGCAAGGGCGUGCCGGUUCGAGUCCGGCCCCGGGUA
rnacentral:tRNA from 1 species